AAAUAGCAAGGAAACAGAUUGCUUUGUUUGCCUUGUUACAUUGUCCACUGUGAUCCGGAAGAAACAGACAUGGUUAAAAUAGAGUAACGCUUUUCAUUACUUAUUUCUUGUAGGAUUCUCCAACUACCACAAAACUCUGCUUACCUGAAAAUGAAUCUCCUCCUACUUCAUCAAAGCAUCAAGAUCCAGUUAGUAUGUUAGAAACAUACAGAAUAAAUAGCCUAGCCUUUUCAAUCACUUUCAGGAAAUUAAUUUUCUUUAAAUAUAAUGUUGAAGUAUUUCUUGUGCCUCUAUUAAAUUUUAUUGGCCUUUUAGAAAAAUUAUAACUAAAACAGUUUUAAGAAUCAAAUUUUAUUCAUUUUAAAGCCCCUUUUGUAUAAAAUAUGCUAUUAGUUUAUAUUUACAUAUAUGCUAUAUUUAAAUAUAUGCCAUAUUUCAAAGUGACAAAUUUAUACUUAGUUUUUAAAAGUAAAAAAUUCUAAGCCAGGUCUGGUGGCACAUGCCUUUAGUUCUGGCACUCAGGAGGCAGAGGCAGAGGCAGAGGCAGAGGCAGAGGCAGAUGGAUCUCUGUGAGUUCCAAGGCCAGCAUGGUCUACAUAGUGAGUUCCAGGACAGCCAGGACUUCACAGAGAAACACUGUCUCAAAAAACAAGCCACAGAACUUCCCCAGAGAAUAUUACAAAUUAAAUUAUACUUCCCUUUCUUUCCCAGGCCGGCAGUCUGAAGGUAAGAUGUAUGCCCUUCCUUUUUAGUUGUGAUUUGGAAGAGCUUGUCAGUCUGGGCCAGGGAGGACUAGAGAUGAUAAGUCUGACUGAAACCUCCCAGCAGCUUUUCUCCUCACAGUGAAGCCCGUGUUUGGACCCUUUGACCUCAUCCUCAUAUUCACACACUCCUGCUUUUCCUGUCAACACUGCUCUGCUCUUGCCUUGUACUGCUGUCCUUAUUGGGUAACAUUUAACAUUUUUUUAAGGAGAACAUUUUUAAGCAAGACAUAUAUGCUUUGGCUCUUGUCUGUGUCCCUAGCUCAUACUUCAUGUGUCCUCUUCUCCCAUACUGCACAACACUUUGGUUGGUCUCUCACCCUUUCCUCUGCCACCGAGGCUCUGCCACACCUUUGCCUGGAAGCCUGUGCAUACCCACCAGGAUUAAGUUCAGAGUGUGCUUCCUCAGAGAAUGUAGGCCAGUCCUCUAGGUGAGAUGAGGUUCCUUGUGAUACUCCUUGUAGCCUGACUUCUGUUUAUUUCAUAAAAGCAAGAACACCCUCUGUGGUCCAGCUUGUCACUGUCUUCUCAGCAAGGAGACACUGUUAGCAGAGGCGGGAAGAUUCAUUCCUACCGCACAGCCACACAGUAGUUGCUGAGCAAAUACUCGUUGAGUUAAUGAAUUUAACACUUUAAAAAGACAAACUUUGAUCGUUACUAUUUGAUGAAGUUAGGUUAAACUUCUGUUUACUUGUCAGACUUUAGAUUCUUUGCAAGCACUGGCUUCACUUCCUUCUGAUCAUUCUGACUUUUGUUUUCCUUUUCCCAUAUAUAUAUGUGGCAAGACAUGUAUAUUUCUUUUUAAUUGUUCUUUUUGUUUCUUUUAUUUUAUGAUUCCCAUCACAUUGUAUAUACUUUUUAUUUUUAAUUAGCACUAAGUAAGCUAAGAGGUAAUGAUGGGAUGUAUUUUUAAAUAUAGGCAGUACACAUUUUACAGAAAUAUCUCCAUAGACUAUGUUUUAAUAAAAAGGAAUUUCUAAGUAAUUGUAGAAACAAGAAUUUGUAAAUCCUUCAUACAGUUUAAAAACACUGUUGGUCAAUGAUCUUCCUGUCCAUUUGCCAUCCAUUAAACUGUCCUGGAUGCAGAGUGCCCUCUGAUGGCCACCCCGGGAACUGCCUCCCCAGUGUGCCUUGUUUCAAUGCUCUGUACACACAGAACAGCUGUGUUGAUGUUGCCAGGACUACUGUUUCCACAUAAACAGGGUGUUCUUUCCUCCUCACACUGAGACUGUUAUCCCUUUGACCUCUCUUCCUGACGUCUAUUUUGCAGGCCCCUUCUCUGUGUGCCUUGCUUCUAAGAGUCCUAUUUGUCUCUUCCAUUCUGUCUAAUUACUACAGAGCUAUUUCCCCUUCUCUCUGUAUGUGAAUUAAAAUCUUGGCAUAAAUGUUUAGUGGCAACGAAGGUACAGAUUUAGAAGGCUUUAUAAAAAUAUAACAUUGAAACAGAUUCUGCUGUCUAUGUAGUUGCUUAAACUUCGCUCUUUGCUCAGUAUCCUCCCUUUCCUCUGUAUGCAUGGCAUCUCUGUCCCCUCAUGACCUGUUUCUCUCUGGAAUUUAGCCCCUUUCUCACUUUCCUUGGUCAAGUUCAGACCUUUGGCAUUCUUCAGCAUAUCAGUUAGAGGUGCAGCUGGUUGCCAGCCACGCUGUUGUCUCUUAGUGCUUCUCUUCUUGCCACUUGUUUACCUUGCCUCAUAAUUGGUAGGCCCUGUGAUGUUCUUUCUGCCUUUCUCCUUCUGUCUCCAUCUGGCUACUCUGAGGUUAGAGGUCAGCUCCUCUAGGAAACUGCUCUGAUUCUGUUCUCUGUCUUUCAGGUUGAAUUCAGUUCUCCUGUCCAGGUUGAGAUAGGAGUCCAUUUCUCAGAGCACUUAACAUAUUGUGUAAUGAUUGUUUAGGGUACUUUCUGUACAUUUGGGUAUAGCAAGUUUUGUUCUUUUAUAUUCAGAUGAGAGUGCUCAGUACUUAGAGGGCCAGUGCUUCCAUCUUACUCCCUGUGGGAAUUUGGGGAAAGUACUGACUCCUUUUGAACAGUGCCUGAAUAAAUGCAGCCUCUUGCAUGUUUCUCGUUUCUGGUUUUAAAUCAGUUUUAUCUGUUGACUCUGG
rnacentral:lncRNA from 1 species